AAAAAUGGAUACAGACGUCUGCAACAUGUUUUGCUUGUUUAAAUCAGCAUAUUUUACACUUUACAUCUAAUAUAAAUAUAUCUGUAUACAUUCCUCAUAAUGGCUGGUCAGUUUCAUAACAAUGAUAAGCAUUUACUAUGACAAUGUAUGUUCAGAGGACAUAAAAGUCAUAGCAAACUUGAGAGAACAUCAACAUGUUAAAAUCGUGAUGAAGACCAUGAUGAACAGGAUGCUGUUUGUACAUAAUGUGAUUUGCUCCCGCCACCUCCAUCAAAUUCACAAAUAUGUUCAAGCCAUUGUUCAAUGUACGUGGACACAAUGAAAAAAGAAAAAAGGGGGAAACUAAUGUGAAGUUCCGUUUUUAUCAACACCUGUGACAUGAACAGUCUGCUGCUAAAAAAAUGACUGUCACUGUCUAAUUUGGAAACUAUAAAUACACUUCAUGGAUUAUUCCUUCAACUUGAAACAGGUACAUGUAUUUGCAGAGACUGUAGUCUAGACAUGGUAGACAAAUGUUACUAGAUUGCCAAAGCAAAGCAAUGCAACAUUAAAAAAAUGAAUGUAAAUAAGAUCAAGGUUUAGACGAUUCAGGUCCAAUCAAAAGAGCAAGAAAGACAAUACCAGUUAAAGGUGUCCAUUGUUAAUCCUAGAAGACACAAGAAAAAGUGAGCAAGCUGAUUUGAGUCAAAGUUCAGAUUCUUCAGUUUUUUAGAAAAUGGAAAUCGAGAAAACUGUACUACAUGUACUAUUGAGGAAGACAGAUGCACAUAAGAUAAUUCUUAACAAAAGCAGCAGCGGAGAGCAUGUUAUCAUGCAACAUAGACUAGUCUAUUCUUUGUUAAAUGAUGUAAAAAUGAAAAUAUCAGAAACAGUGAAUAGAUUGUAUGCAGAUAAGAUAAAUUCAAAUCAACCUAAAAAGUCUAUAUCUUUAGAAUCAACAAAUAAUUCAUAGGCACUUAAUUCAGAUAAAGUUCUUCAAAUGAGAUGGGCAUCCAUGUUAAUAAAUCCAGAGUCACAUUACUUCAACAACUAAAGCAAUAUACUGUACAUGACUGAAAAAUCUAAUAUUGAAAGGCAAGUGGUAACAAGGUAGAUCCUUAAGUGGCUGCUAAUGAGAUGAGAUCUUUAUACAACAUGUACAAAAAGGAGAAUUUUCAUCAGACCAACAAAUUGUUUCUUUUUUGUCCUGCUUUGUCAGAUAGAGAAAAAAGACUUAGUUGUUCUGAAGAUUAUGUAGCAGCAGAGAAAAAAGACAGAACAGAUACAAAUGUAUAUAAAGUACUUUUGGAACCAAAUAACAGUUAAAAUGUUUUUAGUUUUAAUUCUUUUCAUGCCUACCGCUUUCUUGGCCAAUACAAACUAGAUAUUUAGUGUCUUUCAGUUUGUAAAUA